GGACCGUGGCUAUGGAGUCCGGCGUGGCAGCGGCAAUCCCUGGCCAAAGUGUGCCUUCAGCCAAAAGCAGAACUGGAAACAUCCUAAGUGGGCCGGUAACGAGGCUAGCUCUGUCGACUAGUUCAAGACCCCUGAGCGCUUUGGGCCUGAGGUUCCUCAGCUUCCAAGUGAAAGGCUUCGACUUGGCAUUCUAAGAGACAAUCUCUGUGACCAUCAGUUUCCUCAUCUGUAAAACUGGCAUCAUGAUAACUUUGAAGGUUUUAUUCUGGGCAUAUAUAUGUUUGGAGGUGUGUGUAUGUUUGGGGAACCUUUGAAUUUGGAAGUACCAAGGUGAGGAGAGACUUAUGGAAUUUAGAAGCUUUGGCAGGAACUAAGCACUGUGUUUCUUAGAAUGAGCAGCUCUUUCUACUUGAAAGGCUGAGGCAGAGGAUCGCUUGAUCCCAGGGAUUUGAAGCUGGCUGCAGUGAGCUAUGAUCACACCACUACUCUCCAGCCUAGGUGACACAGCAAGACUCUGUAAAAAAUGAAGAAGAAGAAAGAAGAAGAAGAAGAAGAAGAAGAAGAAGAGGAAGAGGAAGAGGAAGAAGAAGAAGAAGAAGAAGAAGAAGAAGAAGAAGAAGAAGAAGAAGAAGAAGAAGAAGAAGAAGAACAGGCCAUGUGAGGUUGCCACACCUGUAAUCCUAGCACAUUGGGAGGCUGAGGUGGGAAGAUCACUUGAGGUCAGGAGUUCGAGACCAGUCUGGCCAACAUGGUGAAACCCUGUCUCUAAUAAAAAUACAAAAAUUAGUCAGGUAUGGUAAUGGGUGCCUGUAGUCCCAGCUACGUGGGAGGCUGAGGCAGCAGAAUCACUUGAACCUGGGUGGCAGAGGUUGCAGUGAACCAAGAUCAUGCCACUGUACUCCAGCCUGGGUGACAGAGUAAGACUCUAUCUCAAAAACAACAACAACAAACAAACAAAAAUAGUUCCUUAAGGUGAGAGACAAAUUUAUCAAAUAAAAUGUAAAAGCCAUGAGUUUAGUAACAGCAAUUUUUCUGUCAUUUUUUCCCUCAGUGAACAUUGGCACUUAUUUUAGUGGAAUUAAAAGUAGCAGGCUGAGUGCAGUGUCUCACACCUGUAAUCUCAACACUCUGGGAAGCCAAGGCAGGAGAAUCUCUUGAGGCCGAGAGUUUGAGACCAUCCUGGACAACAUACUCUAUAAGGAACGACCCAGGCCAGAAACCUGCCAAAUCCUGUCCAGUACUAUGAUCUACAAAACGGAUCUGCCUCAGGAAAGCCAGGGAAGGUGGGGCUGGAUGGAGUGUGUUCCAGCUGGAACAUCUGCUCUGGGCCAGGCACAGUGGGGAAAGCCAAGGUGGAUUCACUAUGGCCCUGAUCUCAUGAUUGGG
rnacentral:lncRNA from 1 species